rnacentral:rRNA from 1 species
UACGUAGGGGGCAAGCGUUGUCCGGAUUUAUUGGGCGUAAAGAGCGUGUGGGCGGCUAUACAGGUCCGCUGUGAAAACUCGAGGCUCAACCUCGAGACGUCGGUGGAAACCGUAUGGCUAGAGUCCGGAAGAGGAGAGUGGAAUUCCUGGUGUAGCGGUGAAAUGCGCAGAUAUCAGGAAGAACACCCGUGGCGAAGGCGGCUCUCUGGGACGGUACUGACGCUGAGACGCGAAAGCGUGGGGAGCGAACAGG